AUGAAGAAUUCAUGUUGUCUCCUCUAUUUUCUCAUUGUAAAGGAUAAACCAUUAUUGCUCAUGAAGAAACCUGUGCCUCCCAGGACACCAUGUGACCGAGCCAUAUCAGGUCGGUCACCUAAAGCACAAUGCAGAAUGAAUUACAGUGCUCUACUACGGAGACAUUCUACUAUGCUGACCACAUGCUCACCCUCCGAUCCUUCUGUCUCCUCAGCUGAUAAAGAGACUGUACCACCACUGUCCAUGUCCAUGAACCAACAGGCACUGGACCCAGAGGAAGAGGAGAACCUACAGAGGAUACAGUACAGGAAGCAGAAGCUGUUCUCAGAGAAACUCCAGUGGAUUUACAUGGUCCUGUGUGGCAUCUCUCACAUGCGAAACAGAGAUCUGAAGACACUGGUGAGCCUGAGCUAGUGCAGUCAUGCGUCAUAUUGCAGAGUCUGCCGGACUACCUCUGGGAUGUGUUGGAAGGGAUUUAAUAGUAACAGAAGCUUCCAGGUUCCUCUCAACAGCAGCUAUGUGAACAUCAUCAUGAAGGACACAGAGAAGACCAACAUCCUGCUGAAGCAGUCGCCCAGCUACAACCCUCCGUUGAAUUACACCAGGCAGCUGGUGUCCCUGGCCCCAGAGGACUGUCACAGCAUCAGCCGUGACGUGUGGGACACCUUCAUCAGUCACCAGGACACCACAGGUGACAAUAUGACCUGGUCGAUUGGAACAAUCUAUUGAGUGUCACCUGAAUUGCAAUAUUCAAUUAUCAAAACAAACAAUGAUGCUACUGUCUCACCCCACGAUGCCACUGUCUCACCCCACGAUGCCACUGUCUCACCCCACGAUACGACUGUCUCUCCUGUGAAUCUCAGAGCCCUCGAAGUUAACUACCACCCGAACCACAGGGUAAGAAAAUGAACAAUAAAAACACAUUACAGUCCUGUUCUACCAUACCGUAAUACGUUGGUUUGUCUAUAAUCAUAGAUAUAAAGCUCUGCAGUCAGGGCCCAGGCGCAAGGUGCCUGACGGAGAUGGAUACAUGCCCCCAUGGCUGCUACUGCUGCUGGAUGAGAACAGUCAGUCCACACAAUAUCACACACACAGGACUGAGGGUAGAGAUCACACACUCAAACAGACCCAAGUAUAUACACACACACACAGGACUGAGAGUAGAGAUCACACACUCGAACAGACCCAAGUAUAUACACACACACAGGACUGAGAGUAGAGAUCACACACUCAAACAGACCCAAGUAUAUACACACACACAGGACUGAGUAGAGAUCACACACUCCAACAGACCCAAGUAUAUACACACACACAGGACUGAGAGUAGAGAUCACACACUC
rnacentral:lncRNA from 13 species